AUGUUCACGGGCUCUAGACUGGCACCUCUCUUUAUAAGUACAAUAGCUGCGUGCCAUUGUCUCUCUUUCAACGCAACAAGAAGUGGAGUCACGCUACCGAAUCCUGUAACAUCAGUUGCUUGCGCAUCGAUGUUUGCUCCCCCAUCCAACAACAAUUCUACCAUCGUUUCACUCCCUCCAAAAGCAGCUUCGUGUAACGCGGUCCAAUCUUCUUUCGGACUAGUUUUAAUGUCUACAGCUCCCUCCGAAAAAAGUGUCGGUAUAUCACCACGGUUUUCAUUAACAUUUGCUCCCUUCUCUAUAAGAGCUCGGACCAAAUGUUUGUUCUUCCUCUUUACAGCCAUGGCAAGGGGCACGAGACCAUCUUUCCUCGGGGCGUUAAGGUUAACAUCACACUUUCGGAGAAAGGCCACUAAUGCGUACAAGCUGUUUUUAACGGCAAAGUGAGCGAGGGUGCCGCCUUUUCUGUGCCGAUAUCUAAUGCUGACUCCGGAGGUCAAGAGUUUCAGGAUAAAUCGAUGAUAUCCAUGCAGAGCAUUGGAAGUUUGUUCAGUUUGGCGAUACUUAAGUUUUCUAUUGCAGAACUUUGGGAGACAUUCAAUUUCAGAACCACCCGGUAAGAGUUGCUGGAUAAGAUCGAUAUUGUGACCACUAACAUAUAGGACAGGUACUUUCGUGCACUUCCUGAUUGGCUGCCAAAUCUUCGGCGGAGACAAUAUUUUCUCCCCAGAUUUCUAUCAAAUCGAAAAUUGUACCUGCAGGUGGGUUGAAAUCAGCUGGGUUGAUCACCGGGUUUAGGGAUGUGAAGGGCUUGGACAUUGUGAACGCGGGAUUUACCAACAGGAAACACUCGAAAGCUGAUCUGCAUUCAGCAAUGAUUUCCUGCAUGGGAUUUGUUGCGUUGGUUCUGCAUUUGACGAGAAGGAAAGCCUGAACGAGCAUGGCUUUGGUGUUUUCUGAAACAAACAAUAAUCCCGGAGAAAACUAUAAAACAUGUAACGAGGUCUUUUGGUGCAGUAAUGACAAAUUUUUACUCGCAGUUUUGAUAACCGCGGUCCUUUUUCAGCACGAGAUUUCACUGUUCCUGACGUGAGUGAAACCAAGUAGUUCUUCAUGUAGUGAGACAUACGCAGAAAAGAAGUCAAUUCAGCACCUUCAGAGAGGGAUAUUAACGCGCCAUUCUGUUUCGAAGAACUGACACCUGCCGUCUAUCCCACUUUCUCAUCGACUUCUAACAUUAUUAUUUACACUAUUAUUGCAUUAUGAAAACGGUUACUCAAGUGCAUGUAUUUAAAUAAGCGGAUGGUUUUCGAUCCGAGAUUUCAACGUGAAGAUUCACGAAGUGUAAGCUUCAAUCCAUGACGUAUGUGUGCGCAUUUGUGGC
rnacentral:lncRNA from 1 species